CCAGGAAACUCGGAGGCGGUUCCUGCGCAGUGUCGCCACAGUGCGCAAGCGCGCGCUCUGCCACGGGAGGACUCUGGGUAGUGCAGUCAGCUGGCACCUAGUGGGGUCUCGCGCCUGCGGGGUUGCGCCCCCAGCCCUGUUUUUUCCGCGGGGCGUAAAGGCAGUGGCUGGGGCUGAGCGGAGCUGUAGCUGUUAAGGCCGUGCGUUCCCAUGACUGGUGGAAUCCCGGGUUUCUUUUUUGGAAGGGAUGUUGCUGGAAGGGUGCGGGUCCAGUCGUACGUCGUUAUAUAUGGCGCAGGCUGGACUUGGAACAAGCAUUGGUAGUGAGGAACCCCGCAUUCCCGCGCAGUGGUGGAGCCCCAGGUGUGACAAUGAAUUUCAAGGUGUUUUUUUUGUUUUGUUUUUUUUUUUUGGCUGGAGUAGGCGAAGCCUCAAUCUGUUCCCUGGUGGUGAGUGGUAUAUACUAAGUAUCAAGAUUGGGCAUGUAACGCUAAAGCGAGUCCUCAGUGCACACCAGUGCUUAUGGGCAAAAGCUGUAAAUCAUGAGCUGUUUCGUGAGAAAAGCCAUUUUUCUGAGAUAUUAGGAGAACCUGAACUAUCCCCUUGCUCCCAGGUUAAAAUUUGUGGGGGUGGUUUGUUUUAAACAAAGUAUUGUAGACAGAAAAUUACACAGUUUAUAAAUAAAUCCAGAGCUCAUUGCAUUUUCAUGAAGUGAACAGGAGCACUAACUAGAAAUAGAAUAUUACUAAUACAACAUCUCUGAUCACUACCCCCCAAAAGAAUAAACACUAUCUUGACUUCAAGAUAUUAGUUUCGCCUAC
rnacentral:lncRNA from 1 species